GGCUGCAACUCGCCUACAUGAAGCUGGAGUUGCUAGUAAUCGCGAAUCAGAAUGUCGCGGUGAAUACGUUCCCGGGCCUUGUACACACCGCCCGUCACACCAUGAGAGCUGGUAACACCCGAAGUCCGUGAGGUAACCGUAAGGAGCCAGCGGCCGAAGGUGGGAUUAGUGAUUGGGGUGAAGUCGUAACAAGGUAGCCGUAGGAGAACCUGCGGCUGGAUCACCUCCUUUCUAAGGAGA
rnacentral:rRNA from 1 species